AACGGAGGGAACAAGUGUUACUCGUCGUGACUGGGUGUAAAAUGUCUGUAGACGGUUGUGCAAGUUUUUGUCUAAAUGCGUUUUUAUCAGCGUAAAUUCACUAAAAAUACUACACGACUUAGGAGUUUAAUAGAUUUUAGCAGCACCUGUUAUGUAGGGAUGAAAUCCUCAAAAAUAGCAGGGACUAACAAUAGUGAAGACAGCUAGAAAUAUGUAAACUGACGUUGAGAGACUAAAGCGUAGGGAGCAAACGGG
rnacentral:rRNA from 1 species